UGGGCGUUAAGUUGCAGGGUAUAGACCCGAAACCCGGUGAUCUAGCCAUGGGCAGGUUGAAGGUUGGGUAACACUAACUGGAGGACCGAACCGACUAAUGUUGAAAAAUUAGCGGAUGACCUGUGGCUGGGGGUGAAAGGCCAAUCAAACCGGGAGAUAGCUGGUUCUCCCCGAAAGCUAUUUAGGUAGCGCCUCGUGAAUUCAUCUCCGGGGGUAGAGCACUGUUUCGGCUAGGGGGCCAUCCCGGCUUACCAACCCGAUGCAAACUGCGAAUACCGGAGAAUGUUAUCACGGGAGACACACGGCGGGUGCUAACGUCCGUCGUGAAGAGGGAAACAACCCAGACCGCCAGCUAAGGUCCCAAAGUCAUGGUUAAGUGGGAAACGAUGUGGGAAGGCCCAGACAGCCAGGAUGUUGGCUUAGAAGCAGCCAUCAUUUAAAGAAAGCGUAAUAGCUCACUGGUCGAGUCGGCCUGCGCGGAAGAUGUAACGGGGCUAAACCAUGCACCGAAGCUGCGGCAGCGACGCUGAUGCGUUGUUGGGUAGGGGAGCGUUCUGUAAGCCUGCGAAGGUGGCCUGUGAGGGUUGCUGGAGGUAUCAGAAGUGCGAAUGCUGACAUAAGUAACGAUAAAGCGGGUGAAAAGCCCGCUCGCCGGAAGACCAAGGGUUCCUGUCCAACGUUAAUCGGGGCAGGGUGAGUCGACCCCUAAGGCGAGGCCGAAAGGCGUAGUCGAUGGGAAACGGGUUAAUAUUCCCGUACUUGGUGUUACUGCGAAGGGGGGACGGAGAAGGCUAUGUUGGCCGGGCGACGGUUGUCCCGGUUUAAGCGUGUAGGUGUGUGUUCCAGGUAAAUCCGGUUCACUUUAACACUGAGGCGUGAUGACGAGGCACUACGGUGCUGAAGCAACAAAUGCCCUGCUUCCAGGAAAAGCCUCUAAGCAUCAGGUAACAUCAAAUCGUACCCCAAACCGACACAGGUGGUCAGGUAGAGAAUACCAAGGCGCUUGAGAGAACUCGGGUGAAGGAACUAGGCAAAAUGGUGCCGUAACU
rnacentral:rRNA from 1 species